UACAGAGGGUGCAAGCGUUGUUCGGAAUUACUGGGCGUAAAGGGCUCGUAGGCGGCCAACUAAGUCGGAUGUGAAAUCCCCAGGCUUAACCUGGGAACUGCAUCCGAUACUGGAUGGCUUGAAUCCGGGAGAGGGAUGCGGAAUUCCAGGUGUAGCGGUGAAAUGCGUAGAGAUGUGGAGGAACACCGAUGGCGAAGGCAGCCCCCUGGGCCAAUACUGACGCUCAUGCACGAAAGCGUGGGGAGCAAACAGG
rnacentral:rRNA from 1 species